UACAGAGGUCUCAAGCGUUGUUCGGAUUCAUUGGGCGUAAAGGGUGCGUAGGCGGCGCGGUAAGUCGGGGUGUGAAAUCUCGGAGCUUAACUCCGAAACUGCAUUCGAUACUGCCGUGCUUGAGGACUGGAGAGGAGACUGGAAUUUACGGUGUAGCGGUGAAAUGCGUAGAUAUCGGGAGGAACACCUGAGGCGAAGGCGGGCUACUGGGCCGAGUACUGACGCUGAUGCGCGAAAGCGUGGGGAGCAAACAGGGAU
rnacentral:rRNA from 1 species